AAGCAGCUGGGAGUCGUAUGUUGGUCAAGGCUGCAUGUGAAGUAGGUUAAGGGUAUCUAGAUGUGUUGAAUCUCUUAUCAAAUUCCAAAGUCCAAUUCCAAAGACCAAAGCCCAAAGGCGGUAGGCCGUAGGCCGAAACCUAAAGACGUAGGCCCGAGGCCGGAGGCCGGAAGCCUGUCGCUGGAAGCUGGAGGCCCGAAGCCGGAAGCCGGUAGGCCGUAGGCUGAAAGUGGAGUGCAGAAUGCCUAAAGCCCAAAGCCGACAGGCAAUAGCCAAAAGCCGAGAGCCGAAAUCCCAGAACCCAAAGCCCGAAGUCCAAAACCGAAAGUCGUAAGUGGCAUAGGUUGGUUAGUUUAGUGUGCGUCCAAUGUAGGCGACCGGCUGACGUGAAUAGGUUCUCUAGCCCAGUCGGCAUCAAGUAGCUGGGAGUCGUAUGUUGGUUAAGGCUGCAUGUGAAGUAGGUUAAGGGUAUCUGUAAUUUUUUUGAGGCAAGCGAGCUACAUCGUAGCGUGUUUAAUUUUCUGAUAGUUGGCUGCGUUCUAAGCAGCAUACACGCUUAAGUGCAUAGAUUGGUUGGAGUAGGCUACGUCCGUCGCUGGUUACGUGCUCAGUUCGAGACUUACGUUUGGCUAUCCUUCGUCUGCAGCGGUCUGCUCUGUUAUGGAGGCUUCUUGCUCGCGGUCUUAGGUAAGUCGGGUUAGGCUGCUUCAGUGGCUGGCUACCUGACGAGUGGCAUAGGUUGGUUGUUUUAUGCUGCGUCCUGAAAAGCAACGCCCGGCGACUGACAAGUCACGCUUCCUUGAAUCGUAGGCCACAUAUCUCUGCUGACAAGCCACACAUACUUCGUCACAGGCCACCAAACUUCACCGACCUCUUGGCAGAUGAUCCAGAAGUGGUUUGCCAUUGCCUUCUUCUGUGUAUGUGCGGCUGAUUUCGUACCACUACAGGAAAUUUGCUGUGAUCAUGAAGGGCUUUGUCUGCGGAGAAGCAGCUUGAUUGAUCCAUGGGACUUUACUGAGGUUGAAGGCUGCGUCACCUGACCUGACUACUGGUUGCCAGGAAAAGAGUGGAGUAUGUGCAGAAACACUUUGCUGGCUCUCUGAUAUGACAACAGGAAAUCGGCUGUUAUCAUGAAGGACCUCAUGUCUGCGAGAGAUUGAUCUCUGUCUCAACUUGACAUGCGUUGUGGGUAGCGGAUUACAAGAAAUAGAAUGUUCCUCCAGAUUCUACUGGGCGGCGUGCUGUGUGUCACCUGACCUGCGUACUGCUUGCCAGAGAAGCAUUGGAGUAUGUGCGGCAACAGUUGGCAGACUGAGUUGAUUUCAGAACAGGAAACUUACUGCCAUGACUGGCGUAUGUAGUUCAUGUGCAGCGAGUUGGUAGCGAGGAUGUUUCCAUGUGGGAGUUUCGGUUUCUAGUUUGUUCUGUGAUGUCUCUGGUCUGUUCUUUCCGCGCAUCACGUAGUUCAUUUGGGUCGGCACUAUAAUUCUUUGUGGCCACGUUCUUAGAGAUGUGAAAGAAGACUGGCAUUGGGAAUAUUUGUCUCGGUUGGUAGUGAGGUCGUGCUUCGGUUUAGUUAAUGUUUGAAUGCUAAAAUGAUUUUGAGUUCAUAAUGGCAAAUAUUUAGUCUCUUCAAAUGCCUUAAUGCAAGAAUCAUUGCUGUAAGUUUCUGUGUGGGAACAGUGUGCCUCUUGGGUUGUAAGUGGGUUACGGAAUUAUCUGGUGUUCUCAUUUGUCGGUAGGUGUACAAUCAACUGCAGAAUAAGAGUGCUGAUUCUGUAUGCA